AGUCAGAUCAUACUUAAUUGAGUUUAAUCAUAUUUCAAGAGUUAAAUCAAUUGCAAGUGAUUAAGCCUAGUUCAACAAGGAGGCUAUCCGGAGGCAUCAGGGCCUUCCAUCAGAAUCAAGCUCCAUCUUGAAGUAGAAGAGCCCAAUCAAACAACCAAUGGACCCUACACCUCCUCCUUAUUGGCGCCAUUAGCCUAAAGAAGAAACCAAUGGUGAAGGAUCCAAAAUAGGUAGUUAAUCUCUCUCCUCCAGCCAGCGACCCU
rnacentral:lncRNA from 1 species